UGACGUUUUUGGGCUUCCCCCAUUUUUGGGCUGGUCCGCCGGAGGGGAAGAGCCAGAUCGUUGUCCGUGCUAGCGACAAGUUUAUCUGACGUGGGAUGGUUCGGGCUAGAGGGGUACUUCUACCGAACGAGUUCGUUCGUUCCAGCGACUCUCCCAGCACGAACGACUCGUUCGGGCUGGGGUAUCCCCAGGCCGAUCGUUCGGCAGUUAUCGAUGUCCAAGAUCAUGGCUAUGGAGAUUAGGAUCACCAGAGACGAGGAAGGAAUUGGAGUUCUUAUCGGAUCUAGUUGACAGAUUUCCCCUGCCGGAUCUGGCCGGCGACGAGCUGCCGGUAGAGCACGACAGAAGCCAGGCUGUAAUAUGUGGACCUGCGGACUCAAGCAUUGGCGAAGCAGGAGAUGCCAUGGCAGUAGUGGAAACAGAUUUGAAUAGCACUUGUCAGGGGGUUGCCCUGUCGGCGCCGGCGUCCGAGCAAUCUACAGGGAAGGACGACCCUGAAGCCCCUGGCUGGACGCGAAGAAUCCGUGUUGGGCGUGUGCCUGAUGAAUGGCCCCCAUGUGCUGCCAGGAUGAGUGCAUUGGAGCUAACAAUACGAAGCUAUGCAGA